AGUAGCUGGUCUGAGAGGACGACCAGCCACACUGGAACUGAGACACGGUCCAGACUCCUACGGGAGGCAGCAGUGGGGAAUUUUGGACAAUGGGCGCAAGCCUGAUCCAGCCAUUCCGCGUGAGUGAAGAAGGCCUUCGGGUUGUAAAGCUCUUUCGCAAGGGAAGAAAACUUAGCCACUAACAUUGGCUGAGGUUGACGGUACCUUGAUAAGAAGCACCGGCUAACUACGUGCCAGCAGCCGCGGUAAUACGUAGGGUGCGAGCGUUAAUCGGAAUUACUGGGCGUAAAGCGUGCGCAGGCGGUUUUGUAAGUCAGAUGUGAAAUCCCCGAGCUCAACUUGGGAACUGCGUUUGAAACUACAAGACUAGAAUAUGUCAGAGGGGGGUAGAAUUCCACGUGUAGCAGUGAAAUGCGUAGAGAUGUGGAGGAAUACCAAUGGCGAAGGCAGCCCCCUGGGAUAAUAUUGACGCUCAUGCACGAAAGCGUGGGGAGCAAACAGGAUUAGAUACCCUGGUAGUCCACGCCCUAAACGAUGUCUACUAGUUGUUGGUGGAGUAAAAUCCAUGAGUAACGCAGCUA
rnacentral:rRNA from 1 species